rnacentral:rRNA from 1 species
UACGAAGGGGGCUAGCGUUGUUCGGAAUUACUGGGCGUAAAGGGCGCGUAGGCGGCCCUGUCAGUCAAGCGUGAAAGCCCCGGGCUCAACCUGGGAAUUGCGCCUGAUACUGCAGGGCUUGAGGGUCGGAGAGGAUGGGGGAAUUCCCAGUGUAGAGGUGAAAUUCGUAGAUAUUGGGAAGAACACCGGUGGCGAAGGCGGCCAUCUGGACGACAUCUGACGCUGAGGCGCGACAGCGUGGGGAGCAAACAGG